rnacentral:rRNA from 1 species
AUUGAACGCUGGCGGCAUGCUUUACACAUGCAAGUCGAACGGUAACAGGCCGCAAGGUGCUGACGAGUGGCGAACGGGUGAGUAAUGUAUCGGAACGUGCCCAGUUGUGGGGGAUAACUGCUCGAAAGAGCAGCUAAUACCGCAUACGACCUGAGGGUGAAAGCGGGGGAUCGCAAGACCGCGCGCAAUUGGAGCGGCCGAGAUCAGAUUAGGUAGUUGGUGGGGUACAGGCCCACCAAGCCCAAGAUCUGUAGCUGGGCUGCGAGGACGACCGGCCAACAUGGGAAGGGGACACGGGCGAGACUGCCACGGGAUGCAGCUGUGGGGCAUAUUGGUCAAUGGCGGGAAGCCUGAUCCAGACACGCCGCGUGUGUGGAAAAGGCGUAUUGGUUGUAAAGCACUUUAAGCGAGGAGGAGGCUCCCUAGCUUAAUACUCUAGGAUAGUGGACGUUACUCGCAGAAUAAGCACCGGCUAACUCUGUGCCAGCAGCCGCGGUAACAC